rnacentral:rRNA from 1 species
UGGGGAAUAUUGCACAAUGGGCGCAAGCCUGAUGCAGCCAUGCCGCGUGUGUGAAGAAGGCCUUCGGGUUGUAAAGCACUUUCAGCGAGGAGGAAGGUGGUGAGCUUAAUACGCUCAUCAAUUGACGUUACUCGCAGAAGAAGCACCGGCUAACUCCGUGCCAGCAGCCGCGGUAAUACGGAGGGUGCAAGCGUUAAUCGGAAUUACUGGGCGUAAAGCGCACGCAGGCGGUUUGUUAAGUCAGAUGUGAAAUCCCCGGGCUCAACCUGGGAACUGCAUUUGAAACUGGCAAGCUAGAGUCUCGUAGAGGGGGGUAGAAUUCCAGGUGUAGCGGUGAAAUGCGUAGAGAUCUGGAGGAAUACCGGUGGCGAAGGCGGCCCCCCUGGACGAAGACUGACGCUCAGGUGCGAAAGCGUGGGGCAGCAAACAGGAUUAGAUACCCUGGUAGUCCAGCGCUGUAAACGAUGUCGAUUUGGAGGUUGUGCCCUUGAGGCGUGGCUUCCGGAGCUAACGCGUUAAAUCGA